rnacentral:tRNA from 1 species
UUAAUUAUAGUUUAUUAAAACAUUAAAUUGCAAAUUUAAAAAUAUUUAUUAUAUGAAUUGAUUAAU